UGAGUAAUGUCUGGGAAACUGCCUGAUGGAGGGGGAUAACUACUGGAAACGGUAGCUAAUACCGCACAACGUCGCAAGACCAAAGAGGGGGACCUUCGGGCCUCUUGCCAUCAGAUGUGCCCAGAUGGGAUUAGCUAGUAGGUGGGGUAAUGGCUCACCUAGGCGACGAUCCCUAGCUGGUCUGAGAGGAUGACCAGCCACACUGGAACUGAGACACGGUCCAGACUCCUACGGGAGGCAGCAGUGGGGAAUAUUGCACAAUGGGCGCAAGCCUGAUGCAGCCAUGCCGCGUGUAUGAAGAAGGCCUUCGGGUUGUAAAGUACUUUCAGCGAGGAGGAAGGCAUUGUGGUUAAUAACCGCAGUGAUUGACGUUACUCGCAGAAGAAGCACCGGCUAACUCCGUGCCAGCAGCCGC
rnacentral:rRNA from 1 species